GAUGAACGCUGGCGGCAGGCCUAAUACAUGCAAGUCGAACGGAUGUAGCAAUACAUUAGUGGCGCACGGGUGCCUAACGCGUGGGAACAUACCCUUGAGUAAGGAAUAAUGUCUGGAAACGGACACUAAUACCUUAUAAUGACUUCGGUCCAAAGAUUUAUCGCUCAAGGAUUGGCCCGCGUCUGAUUAGCUAGUUGGUGAGGUAACGGCUCACCAAGGCGACGAUCAGUAGCUGGUCUGAGAGGAUGAUCAGCCACACUGGGACUGAGACGCGGCCCAGACUCCUACGGGAGGCAGCAGUAAGGAAUAUUGGACAAUGAGGGAAACCCUGAUCCAGCCAUGCCGCGUGAGUGAAGAAGGCCUUAGGGUUGUAAAGCUCUUUCAAUGGUGAAGAUAAUGACGGUAGCCAUAGAAGAAGCCCCGGCUAAAUUCGUGCCAGCCGCCGCAGUAAAAC
rnacentral:rRNA from 1 species